CGAAGGGGGCUAGCGUUGUCCGGAUUUACUGGGUGUAAAGGGCGUGUAGGCGGGAAGAUAAGUCAGAUGUGAAAUUCCAUGGCUCAACUGUGGCGCUGCAUCUGAAACUAUUUUUCUUGAGUGAUGGAGAGGAAAGCGGAAUUCCUAGUGUAGCGGUGAAAUGCGUAGAUAUUAGGAGGAACACCAGUGGCGAAGGCGGCUUUCUGGACAUUAACUGACGCCGAGGCGCGAAAGCGUGGGGAGCAAACAGGAUUAGAUACCCUGGUAGUCCACGCUGUAAACGAUGGAUACUAGGUGUAGGAGGUAUCGACCCCUUCUGUGCCGGAGUUAACAUAAUAAGUAUCCCACCUGGGGAGUACGGCCGCAAGGUUG
rnacentral:rRNA from 1 species